UGUCUAUUAUUUCGUGAAGUUAAUCGAUGAGAAGCCUUCUUCAAUAAGCGGACAAAUGAACCCAUAGAUUCACAGAUUCACUUUUCUAUAGAUCAUAAUAUUAACUGCCGAGCACAUAUGUAGACCCUUACUCGGUAUACGUUAUUCUCGCGAAAUACACGCUGGAAGCUACUUCCCUAUGAAAAAUAAAGUACUCUAUGGAAAAUAGUUUUGUUUCAUGCUGCUAUUGUAGAGCCACAGAAUUUGAGAAUUUCGUAUUGGAAAUUUUUGUAUAAUCUUUCAGGAGGAAGAAUUGCUGUCAUGUCUCGCAUACCAAUAGACGAAUUUGGUUUAGAGAGUAGCAAACAUUUGCAAGAAAUUCUUAAAAUAUCAAAAACAGACGAUAAACACGUUUAUACUUUUUAAAGAGAGAAUAGAAAUCGUAUUUUUCUAUUACUUGAUAAACACCAAAGACAUUCCAGCAGUUAAAGAGAAAUCGGAAACAAACUGUUAAACGUUUUUUGUAAAGUUAUUACACGUUCUACUAAGUUGCCUCAAUCAAAUAUUUUUAACAAAACAUAAUAUCUAAUUGUUAGAUAUGAAAAAUAUGUAAAAAACUCUGUAAAGUUUAACGAGAAAACUACUUAUAUUCAUUUGGUAAAAAAAAUAGGCAAUUUAAUUUAUUUUAUAUUAUAAUAUAUAUAAUGAGCGAUCAAACUAUGUAUAGUAUUAGCUGUACUAAAUGUUCUUGUUGAAAUUCACGAAUACUAAUUUAUCAAAACAAUCGUGCCUAUAUUAAAUUGUGAUGGUUUAAUGAUUUUUGUCAUACUCUUUUACAAUUAAAACUUGGUUGAUCAUUUAUGCACUUAUUGUGUCUAUAGGUUUUUUAAUUCUUAAAGGAUGUGCAUUUGACAAGGAUUAUUUUUUUACUACUUUUGUUUUAUCUAUGGUUAAUACACUCGGUACAAAACUUAUUUUUUCACUAUUAUAUGGAAUAAUGGUUAAUAAUGUAUGUACAAAUAUAUUUGAUUCUCAAGUUAAUAGUUGUAAAAAAGGGAUAGUUGGUUGAAGUAUGGAGAUCACAAACGAACAAUAAAAUUUAUAUAAAACUGAA